rnacentral:lncRNA from 1 species
UGGUAAACCCUGCCCUCCCCUUCAAUCAAACAUCCAGGGUGCAACAAAACACCGGAUUAACAAGGGAAAUGAAAUGUGAAAUAACUUCUCAGGUACAUAGCAAGCCGAUGCAGGGUGUUUAACUAUGAAGUCUUUGCUAAGAUGAUCAAGCCACAUCACCCAUUGCUACUAGCAACCUCCUGGCUGUGUGAAACUCCCCGGGAAAGAAGGGGAAAUCAUCUGGCCUUAAGUGGGGGUUGGCCU